ACGUGGGAGAGUGGUGAUUGUGGGAGGUGUGGAGGGUAAUGAUGAAGGGUGAUCAGGGAGAAGAAACGGAAAGCGAGGGAGGGGCAAAUCUGGGAAACGAAAAAAAAAGAGAAAAGGAAAUUUGAUUUCUGAAUCUACAAACCUAACGUUGUUUUCGUCAUCGACACCUCCGUCACCAUUGUCGGUGGAGAAGAAGAAAAAAAUGGAAGAACGGGAGCAAGAGAAUGAGGAAGUUAAGGAAGAAAAAAAGUCUUACAUUUUGUGGCAGC
rnacentral:lncRNA from 1 species